CCGGCGCGUGGAAUAGAGGACGAGCGAGCGAGGGAACGAGUGCAGGCCUGGUACGGACGUUAGCCUUUCCUUGUUCAACUUCUUUCUCUCCAUGGGGAUUGUUUGUCAUCCUCCAAUCUCUCUACCGGGAGUUCGCCGAGAUCAGGUGGAGGUUGGUCGGAGAGCGAUCUUCUUGGGGCAGAGACUCUGCCCUAAAGGCUUGAGGCAUUGGCCGCUAUAAAUCACUGUCUCUGCGUCGUCGACUACGAAGGAGAAGGAUGUCACCCUCGAACGGCAGGGUGAUGCUUCCGCUUCAAGCGACGAGAAGAAGGAGUGGCUGCAUUUAGUCGGUAUUGGCAGCAACGACCUGUCCGCCAUUGCGAUCCUUGCUCUGCGGGUGAUACUUGGAAACUUGGUAAAGGGGAAUGUUGGUUGGUAAUUGCACGGUUUCAAUGUCAGCAGCUUGGAUUUGAUAUGGAGUGGCAACAUGUGUAGAUUGAAGAAAGCAGGGGCGAGGUUGUAGUUGGGCCAAUCAUCAUCCAAUUUGCAUGACUGUGACGUAUUGGUUUCACCUUCUAAAGUCAUCAAGUUGAGUGUGAUUCCUGCUGACAAUGAGGAGAUUUUGCAGGCAGAGGCCUCUGGCACAUAUACCUGUUUCACAGCAGGUGUGCUUGGUUUGGGAACAUAACAGACCAAGAAAACCUUAUUGCUGUCAACGGCACUCAGGGUAAUUAUAUACUGCGGUAGUGGUGUCACCACAGUCACAGCAGGUGUGCUUGGUUUGGGAACAUAACAGACCAAGAAAACCUUAUUGCUGUCAACGGCACUCAGGGUAAUUAUAUACUGCGGUAGUGGUGUCACCACAGUCACAGCAGGUGUGCUUGGUUUGGGAACAUAACAGACCAAGAAAACCUUAUUGCUGUCAACGGCACUCAGGGUGCAUGAUGGCAAUCAUUCUUGACUUCUCCCACCCAUUGGUACAAGGUGCAUGAUGGCCUAUGUCACAUGGGUAUGGGUACGGGUGCUGGUACUAGUACGGGUACAGACCAUUUUCAAAAAAUUUGGGCAAUGCAAUGAUGCUCUCACCAGUUUUUGCUGGAUAAUGGAUCGAUCUACCGAGACAUACUAUGAUUGACAAUUUGCUACUUAUUGACUUGUUGCUCCAUGGUAAGUUCUCCCUUUAUGCAUUAAUUGAUCAGUAAAAAAACUAUCAGGCAAAGUCCUUUGAAUUUAAAUAUUGAGAAGAAAUUAAGGCGUCUGAAUUUGAUGACACAGAGGUUUCCAUUAGUGUUUCAUCGUGUAGAGUCCGCUUGAGAAGGGAGGAUGAUCAGGAGCACUGAUGCUAGAGAUAGGGGCAUGAUAUCCUUUUGGGUUGUCUCCUUUGUUAGGCAAGUUUGAAGGGUUGAUUGCAAUGUUGGAUUGUUAUGACAAGAUUCACCAAGUUUGACCUCAUCUUCAUUUGUUUCUCUCUCAUGUUUAUUGACGAGAUAGUGCCUACGCCCAAGCAGCUGUUUGGCAUGGGACAUUCACGUGGACCAUUCGCUUCAAUGAGCCUCUUAUAUGGUAGAUGUCUCCCUCCCUCUGAAUAGCAGUUGUCAAUUCUGCUUAAGGCAUGGGAUGGCCACGUAGAUUGGUAUCAGAUGUUGAUAUUGAGUAAUGCCUCCUCCAAUUUCUUGCACUGUUCGCGAGCUUCUAUAGUUUCUUUGACUUUGAAGUGUCUUCAAGGUUCAAGUCUUUGGUUGUUUAAUACCAGCUUGUUUCCAUGUUCACACCCUUGUAAAUUCCUUAUUGGGACCCUUUCAAAAAAGGGAAAGUAAGUUUCCGUCUAUUGCAAACUUCUGCUUGGAUUGAAGCUUCUAAUUAGUAUACUAAUCUAGUUAACUCUCAAACUGUUG